UGGAAAAAAAAAAAGUUUAUUGUAGUGUUGCCUAGGGAUUCAUGGUAUCCUCCUCUGCUUCCUGGGCACACUUAGAGUCCUUUGCAUAGACGCCCAGGUGGGGGUGCAAUAGGCAUAAGUAUUUUAAAUAAAUAUUGUGGGUGUGUGUGGAAUAGAAAAUAUUAUUGCAGUGUAGCCUAGGGAUUCAUGGUAUCCUCCUCUGCUUCCUGGGCGCACUUAGAAGCCGUUGUAUAGACGCCGGAUUUGGGGUACAACGGUAGUAAGAUAGAAACCGCGGUAUAGACGCUCCAUAUGAGGGUACCGUUCGGGAAUAGAGACUAUGAUAGAAACCGUGAUAGGACGCUCCAUAAGAGGAUAUCGUCGGGAUUAAGUUGUUUUGAUAUUUUGUAAGGGGUUUUAUUGUGUAUUAAGGGUUGGUUAAAUAAAAUGGAUUGUAAAAAUGAA